GAAAGUAAAAGUCGUAACAAGGUUUCCGUAGGUGAACCCGCGGAAGGAUCAUUACUGAGUGAGGGCCCCUCGGGGUCCAACCUCCCACCCGUGUUUAACGAACCUUGUUGCUUCGGCGGGCCCGCCUCACGGCCGCCGGGGGGCAUCUGCCCCCGGGCCCGCGCCCGCCGAAGCCACCUGUGAACGCUGUCUGAAGUAUGCAGUCUGAGACAAUUAUUAAAUUAAUUAAAACUUUCAACAACGGAUCUCUUGGUUCCG
rnacentral:misc_RNA from 1 species